GCCUGCAUGAAGUCGGAAUACGCUAGUAAUCGCGGAUCAGCAUGCCGCGGUGAAUACGUUCCCGGGUCUUGUACACACCGCCCGUCACACCAUGGGAGUCGGAAAUGCCCGAAGUCUGUGACCCAACCUGAAAGGGAGGGAGCAGCCGAAGGCAGGUCGGAUGACUGGGGUGAAGUCGUAACAAGGUAUC
rnacentral:rRNA from 1 species